UACUGCUCUACCAGCUGAGGUUCUGCUGGGUUCUGCUGUACCAGCUGAGGUUCUGCUGGGUUCUGCUGUACCAGCUGAGGUACUGCUGUACCAGCUGAGGUUCUGCUGGGUUCUGCUGUACCAGCUGAGGUUCUGCUGUGUUCUGCUGUACCAGCUGAGGUUCUGCUGUGUUCUGCUGUACCAGCUGAGGUUCUGCUGUACCAGCUGAGGUUCUGCUGUACCAGCUGAGGUUCUGCUGUACCAGCUGAGGUUCUGCUGUACCAGCUGAGGUAGUGGUGGAGCUGAGGGUGUCAUACCUCUCUUACCUGAAACACUACUGUCUACACCUCUCUAACCUGAAACACUACUGUCUACACCUCUCUAACCUGAAACACUACUGUCUACACCUCUCUAACCUGAAACACUACUCUGUCUACACCUCUCUAACCUGAAACACUA
rnacentral:lncRNA from 1 species